rnacentral:rRNA from 1 species
AGGUAAGCUACUAAGAGCGAAUGGUGGAUGCCUUGACUGGUAAAGGCGAUGAAGGACGUACUAGACUGCGAUAAGCUACGGGGAGCUGUCAAGAAGCUUUGAUCCGUAGAUUUCCGAAUGGGGCAACCCAAUGUAUAGAGAUAUACAUUACCUAUAUAGGAGCGAACGAGGGGAAUUGAAACAUCUUAGUACCCUCAGGAAAAGAAAUCAAUAGAGAUUGCGUCAGUAGCGGCGAGCGAAAGCGCAAGAGGGCAAACCCAGUGCUUGCACUGGGGGUUGUAGGACUGCAAUGUGCAAGAGGUGAGUUUAGCAGAACAUUCUGGAAAGUAUAGCCAUAGAGGGUGAUAGUCCCGUAUGCGAAAAACAAACCUUAGCUAGCAGUAUCCUGAGUAGGGCGGGACACGAGAAAUCCUGUCUGAAGCUGGGUCGACCACGAUCCAACCCUAAAUACUAAUACCAGAUCGAUAGUGCACAAGUACCGUGAGGGAAAGGUGAAAAGAACUGAGGUGAUCAGAGUGAAAUAGAACCUGAAACCAUUUGCUUACAAUCAUUCAGAGCCCUAUGUAGCAAUACAGGGUGAUGGACUGCCUUUUGCAUAAUGAGCCUGCGAGUUGUGGUGUCUGGCAAGGUUAAGCAAACGCGAAGCCGUAGCGAAAGCGAGUCUGAAUAGGGCGCUUAGUCAGAUGCUGCAGACCCGAAACGAAGUGAUCUAUCCAUGAGCAAGUUGAAGCUAGUGUAAGAACUAGUGGAGGACUGAACCCAUAGGCGUUGAAAAGCCCCGGGAUGACUUGUGGAUAGGGGUGAAAGGCCAAUCAAACUUCGUGAUAGCUGGUUCUCUCCGAAAUAUAUUUAGGUAUAGCGUUGUGUCGUAAUAUAAGGGGGUAGAGCACUGAAUGGGCUAGGGCAUACACCAAUGUACCAAACCCUAUCAAACUCCGAAUACCUUAUAUGUAAUCACAGCAGUCAGGCGGCGAGUGAUAAAAUCCGUCGUCAAGAGGGAAACAACCCAGACUACCAGCUAAGGUCCCUAAAUCUUACUUAAGUGGAAAACGAUGUGAAGUUACUUAAACAACCAGGAGGUUGGCUUAGAAGCAGCCAUCCUUUAAAGAAAGCGUAAUAGCUCACUGGUCUAGUGAUUUUGCGCGGAAAAUAUAACGGGGCUAAAGUAAGUACCGAAGCUGUAGACUUGCGCACAACUUAGAUUAUUUAAGUUUAGAAUAUGAGAAACUAAGUUAUAUGUUUAGUUAUAUUUUUACUGAUUUUUAUAGAGUAAAGAUAGAAAUAAAACUUAGUAAAAUCAGUAAAAAUAUUCUUAGACUAAAGUUAAGUAGUUUAAGUUGUGUGCAAGUGGUAGGAGAGCGUUCUAUUUGCGUCGAAGGUAUACCGGUAAGGAGUGCUGGAGCGAAUAGAAGUGAGCAUGCAGGCAUGAGUAGCGAUAAUUAAUGUGAGAAUCAUUAACGCCGUAAACCCAAGGUUUCCUACGCGAUGCUCGUCAUCGUAGGGUUAGUCGGGUCCUAAGUCGAGUCCGAAAGGGGUAGACGAUGGCAAAUUGGUUAAUAUUCCAAUACCAACAUUAGUGUGCGAUGGAAGGACG